rnacentral:lncRNA from 1 species
GAAGAAGAAGCUGCAGCGCUAAAAGCGUCUUCGCCCCGCCCACUGUGUGCUUCGUUUUUUUUCGUGGUGAUGACGCUAUUUGAGGUUAAUUCGCUUGUUUGGAGUCCUACGUGUUGCUUCACAACAACCUCCUGAGGAAAUAAUGGAGUUUAACUGUUGUUGGUGACGAACCACAUCCUUCAGCCCCAUCAGCUUUGAAAGCGCGAAAAAAACAUGGCGGCCGUUCAGGUCCCUUCAUCCGCCUCCAGCUUGGUUUCAUGGGCUCAUUAGGGACGAGAGCAGAGCUGGAGCUCCCACCUGGUGACUCCACCAUCACAGGUGUGUACAGGGCACGGCCUGAGUCGGUGAGGAUGAAUCCUGACCGACCGACUGCAAGACCAACACCCAGAGUCAUGAUAACGUUUUCCUCCAGUGGACCUGAGAAAGUAAACUCACUUCAGGGAGAUUGUGUUCCAGGAAGUGUGUGUGUGUGUGUGUGUGUGUGUGUGUGUGUGUGUGUGUGUGUGUGUGUGUGUGUGUGUGUGUGUGUGUGUGUGUGUGUGUGUGUGUGUGUGUGUGUGUGUGUGUGUGUGUGUGUGUGUGUGUGUGUGUGUGUGUGUGUGUGUGUGUGUGUUUAAAUUCCACAUGAACAGUCGCACACGGCAGCGCUGUCACAAUCUG